AACGGUGUCGGAUGGAAUGAGGAGGAAAAAAAGCAAGAGUGAUCAAUGAAAAAUAGCCGCCUUUGAGUCUGGGCGGGAAAUCGCGGAGCCCCAAAUCAGUAGUAACUGAACUAAACCUCAAUCCCAAAUCGACUUUGCUGCAUUUCCUUCGGAGCUGCGAAUUGGAAGAAGGAAAUGCCUCCAAAGAAGAAAUCCAAGUCGUCUUCUUCUUCAACCUCAUCAGCGAAGAAAAACCAUCAAAACUCACAGCAGCAGCAGCAGCAGCAGCAGCAGCAACAACCUUCCAAGUUUGGAAUCCAACAUUUCUUCAAUCUCCACACACAAAACGCACUUUCCCUCUCUCAAAAUCCCCAACCUCCACCCACUCCUCCAAUUCCCCAAACCCUCUCUCAAAACCCUAUAAUUUCCCCUAAUUCUCUAAACCCUAAAUUUGCGCCACCCUCCAAUUCUCACCACCUCGAUGCCGACGAUAACGUGAUGGAUGUCUCACCUGAAAUCACCAAGUCGGUGUCUCUCCAACGCUUCAAGUUCUCUCCUGGAAUGUUGAUAAAGCAGAGCCAGGAUGAUGGUGGCGAUGAGGUCACAUGGAAGAUAUCUCCGGUUAGUGAAAGACUCCAAGCUGUCUCCAAGCAAAUGCCCCAACUCAUUCAACUCUUAGCUGAAACUUCAAAGCUUAAUUCUUUCAGCAUUCGUCCUUGUUCCUCUUUAAAUGACGAGAUUUCAUCUGGUACUGCUGGCAAGGUUGAUAAGCAGGUUCCUUCACCUCCAUGGAAGGGUGCUGACAGAUCUUUGGUGCCUGCUAGUAGAGUUGGAUUGAAAAGAAUAAACCCACGUCAGGAUGUAAAUUUGACUGAUGUUAAUUGCUCGCUUGCUGGUCGACAAAGUCCUUUCAGAACUCCGCCGUCCCUUUCGUAUUGUCACGAAAAGCUUUCUAAUGUUGCUGAAUGCAAUGGAGCAUCAGAUCAACUGGAUCAAAGGCAACACAAAAAGGCAUUGCUUGAGCUUUUGGAUCAAGUAGAAGAUGCAAUUUCUGUUGAAGAUUCAGAACCUAGUACUGUCAAUUCAUCUAAAACUCAAGAUGGAAAUGGUUAUGACAUGCCCUGCAAUGCUGGAUCUCUAGUAAAAGAAGCAGCAAUAGAUCCACCAGAAAGUGUUGCUGUGCCAUUGUCAAAUUAUAAUUUUCUUGUAUUGGAGGUAUCUGAGAAGCACAGGCCCGCGGAUUUAUCUGGUGCUCAAUGCCCUUAUAAGGUUCUUCGAUUGUUGAAUGAGCAAAGUGGAGAAGAGCGAACUGUCUAUUUGUGGGAAGAGUGGUUCUAUAGUGUCAUUUCACCUGGAGAUACUGUAAAUGUGAUUGGUGAAUUUGAUGACCAAGGAAAGUGUGACGUGGAUCGUGACAAUAAUCUCUUAAUUGUUCAUCCUGACAUUCUAGUCUCUGGAACUCGGGUUGCUGCUAGUUUCAGUUGUCCACGUCGAACUGUUUUAGAUGAGAGACUAAAAUGCAGUGAGCAUUCAACUGCUGCAUUAAUUGGUACCUUGCUGCACCAAAUUUUUCAGGCUGGACUCAUGCAAGAUAAUCCUACCAUAAACUUUUUGGAGGAAUAUGCUAGAAUAGUACUCCAGAAAAAUAUUGAAAGCCUGCAUGCAUGUGGAGUAAAUGAAAAUGAUAUCUUCAAUACUUUGGUUGAGGCAAUUCCUAAACUAAUAAAUUGGAUCAACCUGUUCAAAGAUUCACAGGAUUCAAAAGCCCCCAUUAUUGAUUUUGGUCCUGACAAUGGAUUGAAAAAGCUAAGUAUAUCUGAGGUGAUUGAUAUCGAGGAGAUGGCAUGGGCCCCAAAAUAUGGGUUGAAAGGAAUGAUUGAUGCUUCUGUCCGCGUUAAAGUAGAGUCAGGCAGAAAUAAAGCAGAUGAGAAGAUUGUGCCUCUAGAGUUUAAAACUGGGAAAGUUUCCAAUGGGCAGUCAUCCAUGGAACAUGUAGCCCAAGUGAUUUUGUACACUCUUCUCAUGUCUGAGAGGUAUCUGAAACAUAUUGAUUCUGGUCUUCUGUAUUACCUCCAAUCAGAUCAGACACGGGGAAUCACGGUUCAAAGGUCUGAUGUGGUUGGGCUAAUCAUGCGUCGAAAUGAGCUUGCAAAUGACAUCCUUAAGGCAUCAAGAACUCAACAAUUGCCUCCAAUGCUACAGAGCCUAAAUAUGUGCAGAAGUUGCCGCCAUCUUGAUGUUUGUACAAUCUAUCAUAAGGUGCAUGGUGGAAGCAAAGAGAGUAGUGGACUAGGUGAUCUGUUUGAUUCACAUGUUCAUCAUCUGACAACUGCUCAUUAUGUUUUUCUUCGACGCUGGGAUCAGUUGAUUGACUUAGAGGCUAAAGAGACACAGCUUGUAAAAAACAGAAUAUGGCGUCCACAUAGUUUGAAGAGUGAUCGUUCCACUAGUUGCCUUUCUUCUGUUGUUCUUGAUACUUCAGAUCGAGUUCCAUAUCAGAAAUCUCUCAAAGACAACCGAUUCAUUUAUCGUUUUGUCCAUAAAAAAAUGCCUCUUCAUGACGUGCAUGCUUCUGGUGGAGAAUCUUUGAGUUUUCCUUCAUCUUCGGCAGAAGAUUUCGAUUAUACACUUAAAAGUGGAGACUAUGUGAUUAUUAGUACCAAAUUUGGCCAUCAAACUGUAGCAAGUGGGUUCAUAACAGAUAUCAGUCGGUCCCAUGUUUCUGUUUCUUUUCCUAAGCACUUAAGACUCCCUGGCAGCAAUUCUUCGUCAGAAGCACAUAAUCUCUUUAGGGAGGUCUGGCAGAUUGACAAGGACGAGUUUAUGACUUCAUUUUCAGUUAUGCGGUUCAACCUUGUACAACUGUUUCUCCAAAGUGAACAAAGUUCUCACCUUAGGAAGAUGAUUGUUGAUCUUGAGGCUCCUCGAUUUGACAGUGGAUGUAUAUUUAGUCAAGAUCCAGCCCUAUCUUAUAUAUGGUCAGUGAAGAAUUUAAAUGGAGAUCAGCGUCGGGCAAUUCUGAAGACUCUUACAGCUAAGGAUUAUGCUCUAAUACUAGGGAUGCCUGGAACUGGAAAGACAUCGACCUUGGUACAUGCUGUCAAGGCCAUGUUGAUGAGAGGUGCAUCCAUUUUGCUCACGUCCUACACAAACUCUGCAAUUGAUAAUUUACUAAUCAAAUUAAAAGCUCAGGGUAUUGAUUUUCUACGAAUUGGAAGACAUGAAGUUGUCCAUGAGGAAGUCCGUGCCAAUUGCGUUUCUGCAAUGGAUGUACACAGUGUAGAAGACAUUAAAUUAAGAUUAGAGCAAGUCAAGGUUGUUGCAGUAACUUGCUUGGGAAUUUCUAGUCCCUUGCUUGCCAACAAGAAAUUUGAUGUAUGCAUCAUGGAUGAAGCUGGACAAAUUACCCUCCCAAUAGCUUUGGGACCCUUGAUGUUUGCUUCAAAGUUUGUUCUUGUUGGUGAUCACUAUCAACUGCCUCCACUUGUCCAGAGUACAGAGGCUCGCGAGAAUGGAAUGGGGAUAAGUUUGUUUUGUAGGCUUUCUGAGGCACAUCCUCAAGCAAUUUCAGCUUUGCAAAGCCAGUACCGCAUGUGUCAAGAUAUUAUGGAACUAUCAAAUGCCUUGAUAUAUGGUGACAGACUGCGUUGUGGUUCUUCUGAAAUAGCAAAUGCCAGGCUUAAAUUUUCAGGUUUACAGUCCUGUUCAUCGUGGCUAAAGGAGGUAUUAAAUCCUGGCAGACCCGUCAUAUUUAUUAACACAGAUAUGCUGCCAGCUUACGAGGCAAAGGACUCCAAAACUGUGAAUAACCCAAUAGAAGCUUACAUAGUUGCAGAGGUCACAAAGGAAUUACUUAAUAAUGGGAUUGUAGGUGAUGAUAUUGGCAUUAUUACCCCUUAUAAUUCCCAGGCAAAUCUCAUCCGAGCUUCUGUUAACGUAACCUCUGUGGAGAUUCAUACCAUUGAUAAAUACCAGGGAAGAGACAAGGAAUGCAUACUGGUAUCCUUUGCUAGGUCCAGUGAAAAUCCAAGAAAUUGUACGUCUUCGUUGCUUGGAGAUUGGCAUAGGAUUAAUGUGGCGCUCACACGAGCCAAGAAAAAGUUGAUCUUAGUAGGGUCGUGCAAAACCCUGUCAAAGGUCCCGCUGCUGAAGCUUCUUGUUGAGAAGGUUGAAGAGCAAUCAGGCAUUAUCAAUGUGUCCAAGACAGAUAUCAACUACGAAGAGCACAAAGGAGAGCUGAAAAGAUGUUCUCAUAUCAGAUGAUUACUGCUUUCAGUUCACCAAAACGGAAAAAGAAAAGAAAAACGGGUGACGGCAUGAAUUGGCUUCUUCCCCCCUUCUCAUUAUGCCAAAGAUUUGGCGUUUGGGGCGGUAAAGAUUGUGCAGGAGGAACAUUCAAAGUCGGGACUUCGGUAGAAGGAGCUCGUGCACAAGGAGUGACAAGAAGGUGUUUAUUACCCUUAAAUUGUUAAAUUCUAUUGUUAAAUUGAUCUCUUUAAAUUGUUAAAUUGUUGGAAAGAAAGAGAAUUGAAAUAUGUAUAUGGAAGCAUGUAACAUAUAAAAUGACUUGCGUAUGCUAAAUAUAAAGGAAAUUAUUGCGCUGUGAAUGAGAUGAAUAAAGGAAA